rnacentral:tRNA from 1 species
GUCCAUGUUGCGCAAUGGAUAGCGCGUUGAGCUUCUAAUCCAAAAGUCGUGGGUUCGAAUCCCACCUUGGAUG